UGAGUACGAGAUGCUACGGCGUCGAAGCAGUCUAUGUCAUACUUCCAAGAAAAGCUUGCACUGUCAUAAACAAAUAAUGCCUGUACCAUAACCGACACAGGUGGGUAGGUAGAGUAUACUAAGGGGCGCGAGAUAACUCUCUCUAAGGAACUCGGCAAAAUGACUCCGUAACUUCGGGAGAAGGAGUGCCUUAUUUAUAAGGUUGCAAUAACAAGACCCAAGCAACUGUUUAUCAAAAACACAGGUCUCCGCUAAGUCGUAAGACGAUGUAUGGGGGCUGACGCCUGCCCAGUGCCAGAAGGUUAAAGAAGUUGGUUAGCUUUUGCGAAGCUGAUGACUGAAGCCCUGGUGAACGGCGGCCGUAACAAUAACGGUCCUAAGGUAGCGAAAUUCCUUGUCGGGUAAGUUCCGACCCGCACGAAAGGCGUAAUGAUUUGGGUACUGUCUCAGAGAGGGACUCGGUGAAAUAGACUUGUCUGUGAAGAUGCGGACUACCUGCACCUGGACAGAAAGACCCUAUGAAGCUUUACUGUAACUUGAAAUUGAAAUUGGACUUUAUUUGCGCAGUAUAGGUGGGAGGCUUUGAAGAUAUUCUUGCGGGAAUGUUGGAGCCAUCAGUGAGAUACCACUCUUGUAAUGUUAGAUUUCUAACUUUGUAUCAUUAUCUGGUCAAAGAACAGUUUCAGGCGGGCAGUUUGACUGGGGCGGUCGCCUCCUAAACGGUAACGGAGGCGCACAAAGGUUUCCUCUGAACGGGUAGAAAUCGUAUCUAGAGUGUAAAGGCAUAAGGAAGCUUGACUGUGAGACCUACAAGUCGAGCAGGGACGAAAGUCGGUCUUAGUGAUCUGACGGUGCUGAGUGGAAAGGCCGUCACUCAACGGAUAAAAGUUACUCUAAGGAUAACAGGCUGAUCUCCCCCAAGAGUUCACAUCGACGGGGAGGUUUGGCACCUCGAUGUCGGCUCAUCGCAUCCUGGGGCGGUAGUACGUCCCAAGGGUUGGGCUGUUCGCCCAUGAAAGCGGUACGCGAGCUGGGUUCAGAACGUCGUGAGACAGUUCGGUCCAUAUCCGGUGUAGGCGUUAGAAUAUUGAGAGGAGCCUUCUCUAGUACGAGAGGACCGAGAAGGACAUACCUCUGGUGUACCAGUUAUCGUGCCAACGGUAAACGCUGGGUAGCUAUGUGUGGAGUGGAUAACCGCUGAAAGCAUCUAAGUGGGAAGCCCACCUCAAGAUAAG
rnacentral:rRNA from 1 species